rnacentral:lncRNA from 1 species
CCCGAAUAUAUUUGUAUAAUGUUAUCAUAUCCCCUCUCAGGCGACGUUUUUCGAAACUAAAUAGGUUUAAAUUUGUUAACCUUUCUUCAUAGCCGAUAUGUUCCAUUCCUUUUAUUAAUUUUGUAGCCCGCCUCUGCACUUUUUCUAGUGCUAUAAUAUCCUUCUUUAGAACAGGUGCCCAAAAUUGCACAGCAUAUUCAAUAUGGGGUCUUACCAGUGAUUUAUAAAGAGGCAAAAUUAUAUUCUUGUCCCGAGAAUGAAUGCCCUUUUUCAUGCAUGACAAUACCUUGGCCACUGCUGAUUGACAUUGCACAUUUUUGCAUAGUUUGUUGUCUAUAAUGCCCAAGUCCUUUUCAUGUGUUGUUAUCCCUAAUUCGCUUCCAUUAAGGGUAUACGUUGCUUGUGUAUUCUUUACGCCGAAGUGCAUAACUUUGCAUUUUUCAACAUUAAAUUUCAUCUGCCAUUUGAGUGCCCAGUCCCCCAGUCUAUCUAAAUCCCUCUGCAGCAAAGUAAUAUCUUGCUCACAUUGUAUUGUUUUACAAAGUUUGGUGUCAUCUGCAAACACUGAAACAUGACUUUCAAUGCGGUCUUCAAGAUCAUUUAUAAACAUGUUAAAUAGAAGGGGUCCCAGAACAGACCCCUGAGGGACACCACUUGCCACCUCUGUCCAGCUUGAAAAUUUACCAUUAAUGACAACUCUUUGUACUCUGUUUUUAAGCCAAUGUUCUACCCAAGAACAAGCAUUUUCAUCUAGACCGAUUUCCUUGAGUUUGAACACUGAGUAUCCACCCACGCAGAGACCUAGAGAAAGAGAGGAUAGAGAUUUUGUGGGUCUGGCUAACACUAUCAUGGAAGACUAUUGAUACCGACCGGGCUCCAUCCCCCUUGGUCAAGCGGAGCCUAUGGUCGAUGUAGCAAUAGGGGGAAAGAGAAGUCCUUUCAUGAUCGACACAGGUGCUGAACAUUCUGUGGUGACUAAGAUGGUGGCUCCACCUUCGGGGAAGACUAUAACUGUGAUAGGAGCUACUGGGAAGAGCACUGCUAGACCGGUUCUUAAGAGUCGCACUUGCAUUCUGGGAAGCCAUUUGGUGAAGCACCAAUUUCUAUAUAUGCCCGAGUAUCCAAUCUAACUUCUAGGACAAGAUUUGUUAUCAAAGCUUCAAGCCCAGAUAACCUUUUUACCUAAUGGAUCAACUUCUCUGAAGUUUAAGAGAUCAUCGGGCAUAAUGACGAUAUCGGUGCCAAGGGAAGAAGAAUGGCGCUUCUAUUCCAUAGUGACAAGUGUUAACCCUAAGAGUGAUGCAUCCUUAUUUAACAUUCCAGGAGUAUGGGCAGAGAAUAAUCCACCAGGACUUGCUGGUAAUAUCCCAUCCAUACAUAUUGAACUAAAGAUUGGGACAUAUCCUGGGAGCCUACAUCAAUAUCACAUACCCCAAAAGGCUAAGGAAAACAUACAAACCUACUUGGAUAAGUUCGUAAGGUAUGGCAUCCUAAAAUUCUGUACUUCCUCCUGGAACACUCCAUUAUUACCUGUUCAAAAACCAGGAUCGGACGAAUAUCGUCCUGUACAGGAUUUGAGAGCAGUUAAUGAUGUGGUAGUUAAUAUACACCCAGUUGUACCCAAUCCUUACAAUCUGCUUGCCUUUAUACUAGGUGGGGCAACCUACUUCACAGUGUUAGAUCUUAAGGAUGCUUUCUUUUGUCUUCGAAUUGCUGCUGAGAGUCAACAUAUCUUUGCUUUCCAAUGGGAAGAUGCUGUUACAGGUUCAAAGCGUCAGAUGACCUGGACUAGACUACCUCAAGGGUUCAAGAAUUCACCUACCCUAUUUGGAUCCGCAUUAAGCCAGGAUUUGCAAGAUUUCAAGUCCAUCCCAGGAGAAUGUGUACUACUUCAAUAUGUGGAUGAUUUAUUGAUAGCAGCUGAUACUAAAGAGAUAUGCCAACAAGCCACAUUUGCUUCAUAUUCUAUGGAGAGCAGGAUACAAGGUAUCGAGGAAGAAAGCACAAUUGUGCCAGCCAAGUGUUAAACAUUUAGGAUUCCAUAUAUCCAAAGCUCAAAGAAUGAUGGGACCUGAAAGAAAUGAAGCAGUGUGUCGGAUACCGAUACCUAAGAAUAGAAGACAGGUGCGAGAAUUCUUAGGAGCAGCAGGAUUCUGCAGGAUAUGGAUUCCUAAUUACGCGAUAUUGGCGAAACCCUUAUAUGGAGCUAUAAAAGGCACAGAACAUAGUUACAUAGUUACAUAGUUACAUAGCUGAAAAGAGACUUGCGUCCAUCAAGUUCAGCCUACCUCACAUUUAUUUUUUGCUGUUGAUCCAAAAGAAGGCAAAAAAACCCAGUUUAAAGCACAAUUUUGCAACAAGCUAGGAAAAAAUUCCUUCUUGACCCCAGAAUGGCAGUCAGAUUUAUCCUUGGACCCUACAUUGAAAGAUUAUAUCCUUGAAUAUUCUGUUCUUGCAAGUAUGCAUCUAGUAGCCGUUUGAACAUCUGUAUGGACUCUGAUAAAACCACUUCUUCAGGCAGAGCAUUCCACAUCCUGAUUGUUCUUACAGUAAAAAAACCUUUCCUUUGCCUUAGGCGAAAUCUUCUUUCUUCCAGUCUAAACGCAUGACCUCGUGUCCUAUGUAAAGUCCGGUUUGUGAAUAGAUUUCCACACAAUGGUUUGUAUUGGCCCUGAAUAUAUUUGUAUAAUGUUAUCAUAUCCCCUCUCAGGCGACGUUUUUCUAAACUAAAUAGGUUUAAAUUUGUUAACCUUUCUUCAUAGCCGAUAUGUUCCAUUCCUUUUAUUAAUUUUGUAGCCCAC